rnacentral:rRNA from 1 species
AGAGUUUGAUCCUGGCUCAGGAUGAACGCUGGCGGUAUGCUUAACACAUGCAAGUCGAACGGUGUCUUCGGACACAGUGGUGGACGGGUGAGUAACGCGUGAGAAUCUGCCUCUAGGUUGGGGACAACAGUUGGAAAUGACUGUUAAUACCCAAUGUGUUGUAAGGUGAAAGAUUUAUUGCCUGGAGAGGAGCUCGCGUCUGAUUAGUUAGUUGGUGAGGUAAAGGUUUACCAAGGUAUUGAUCAGUAGCUGGUCUGAGAGGAUGAGCAGCCACACUGGGAUUGAGACACGGCCCAGACUCCUAUGGGAGGUAGCAGUGGGGAAUUUUCCGCAAUGGGCGAAAGCCUGACGGAGCGAUACCGCGUGAGGGAGGAAGGCCUUUGGGUUGUAAACCUCUUUUCUCAGGGAAGAAGAUUUGAUGGUACCUGAGGAAUAAGCAUCGGUUAACUCCGUGCCAGUAGUUGUGGUAAUACGGAGGAUGCAAGCGUUAUCCGGAAUCAUUGGGCGUAAAGCGUCCGCAGGUGGUUUUUCAAGUCUGCUGUUAAAGACUGGAGUUUAAUUCCGGAAAGGCAGUGGAAACUGAGAAACUAGAGUUCGGUAGGGGUAGCGGGAAUUCCCAGUGUAGUGGUGAAAUGUGUAGAUAUUGGGAAGAAUAUUGGUGGUGAAGGUGCGCUACUGGACCGAAAUUGACACUCAGGGACGAAAGCUAGGGUAGUGAAAGGGAUUAGAUAUUCCUGUAGUUCUAGCUGUAAACGAUGGAAACUAGGUGUGGCUUGUAUUGAUUCGAGCCGUGCCGUAGCUAAUGCGUUAAGUUUCCCGCCUGGGGAGUACGCACGUAAGUGUGAAACUCAAAGGAAUUGACGGGGGCCCGCACAAGCGGUGGAGUAUGUGGUUUAAUUUGAUGCAACGCGAAGAACCUUACCAGGGCUUGAUAUGUCGCGAAUCUUGGUGAAAGCUGAGAGUGCCUUCGGGAGCGCGAACACAGGUGGUGCAUGGCUGUCGUCAGCUCGUGUUGUGAGAUGUUGGGUUAAGUCUCGCAACGAGCGCAACCCUCGUCUUUAGUUGCCAGUAUUAAGUUGGGUAUUUUAGAGAGACUGCCGGUGAUAAACCGGAGGAAGGUGGGGAUGACGUUAAGUCAGCAUGCCCCUUACGCCCUGGGCUACACACGUACUACAAUGGUUGGGAUAAAGGGCAGCAAACCCGUGAGGGUAAGCGAAUUUUAUUAAACCCAGCCUCAGUUCAGAUUGCAGGCUGUAAUUUGCCUGCAUGAAGGAGGAAUCGCUAGUAAUCGCAGGUCAGCAUACUGCGGUGAAUUCGUUCCCGGGCCUUGUACACACCGCCCGUCACACCAUGGAAGCUGGUCACGCCCGAAGUAGUUACCCUAAUUUUUUGGGGGGGGGGACUUUUAAGGCAGGGCUAGUGACUGGGGUGAAGUUGAAAUAAGGUA